AAUACCAUAAUUUAACCCAUUUUACAAAUGACGUUGACACUCUCUAUAAUUUGUUACUAGAGUGAACUUUCUCUAAUCAUGUAGAGCACCAGAAACCACAAGGAGGAGGAGCAGCAUUUUCUCCUGAGCCUGAAGCCAGCUCUCUUGGAGUAGCUGCCAUUUGCCAUUGAUGAUCAUUCUUCUCUUCCUCUGGGAGAAUAAGAGGAAGAGGACACAGUCUGAGUGGU
rnacentral:snoRNA from 1 species